AUAUAAUUUAGAUUUAUAUCUAUAUAUUAUUGGAAUAGUUAUCGGUAAUAUAUUGAAAAGGAUGGCAAUCUAUUAUUUAUAUAUCAAAUAUUCGUAGAGAAAAUUUUAUGGAUAUUCGUAAUUUUUAAAAGUGGAGUAGAAAAAGUAGAAAAUAUUGUUCAAUUUUAAUACUUAUGUUGUUGUGUUAGAAAGUAAUCGCGAUAUCGUCUGCGAAAUGGACCAAGUAUUUCCGAUUUGUUAGAAUGGAUCACACAUAUGUGUGAUCAAUUAAGAACAAAAUUUAGAUAAUGGAUGUGUGAAAUUGUAUUAUUUAAAAUAUUAAAUUGUAUUAAUUUGUAAUUUCAUGCAUUUUAUAAGGUUUACAAUAUGUUUAAAAAAUUUUUUUUGAUUUAUUAAAGGGAUAUUAAAAACUUAAAUGUUUAGAUCAUUGUGUAUGAUAGGGUAAAAUGAUUGAACAAAUAAUAUAAUCAAUGGAAAAUUUGAAAGAUAUGAUUUGUGGUAAUUGAAUUCACAUUUAAAUAAAUUUUCAUUCAAUUACUUCUUUCCGAAAAAUAUCUCUUUAUGAAAUCCACUAUAUUUCUCGAUAUCUUUGGAAUUUCAUUUAUUGAUUCUCGAAUCAACUAUCAGUUGAUUAGCCUAUUGAAUCAUUAAGCUAUUAUAAUAAUCGUUUAGAUAUAUAUUUUAUUAAAUUUAUAUUAUCGAAAAUUUUAAUCGCAUCAUUUGAAAAUUUCUUCUAUUUCCAUGAAAAUAGAUUUGUUAAAAUCCAUUUAAUAAUAAGUUCUUCAUUUAUUAUGUUCAAUUUCAGAUUUCUAUUGAAAUUUCUUGAAAUGAUUAGAAUAAUUAUUUGAGUAUUUUAAUGAACAUUGAUUUCUGCGUUUUUCGGUAAAUAAUACUUAAAAAAAAUUGUUUCGCGAAGGAAUUAAAAGAUUCACGAUUUUUUUGCAAGUUGUUUGUUAACGGAAUUGCAAUUGCUUUAUUUUUAGUUUCAAUAUUUAUUUAUCUAUCAAUUUUGUUUUAUUACAUAUUAGUCAUUGAUAACAAAUAAUUCUAUAUUAUGAUUUCGAAUUUUUAUCAGGAUAUAUUAUCAUUAUUACAGAUACAAAGAACAAUGCAAAUUGAUUCUUUCAAUCAAAUGAUUUAUUUGUUAUAUUAAUGAAAUAUUUAUUGUUAAUAGAUUAUUUACUAUUAUUAGAAACACUUAUUAGAAAGAAGAAUUUUUCUAAAAGAGAGUUAGUUUCUAAAAUUUUAAAAAAAAAAUCAUCUUUUUUCUCGCUAUAAAUAAACACUUCGUUUUUAUUUCUCUACUAAAAAAUUCAUUUGCAAUGUAAUUAUUGAUAAAUCUUUAAUGAUGGAUAUUGUUUUAAUGCUUCGUGCCAUAUUUAUCAUUCUAAAUUUUAUUAUAUCCUAGUUUUUAAAAAUCAUUUUUAUUACAUAAAGUAUCGUUUAAUAAUCGUAGAUUUUCUUUGAGUUUUAUUGCUUGAAUUUUAUAUUUGUUUUUUUAAUGCGUCACUGUAUAUUUUAUCGUACAGUAUCGCAUAAAGUAUUAAAAAGAAUUAUACAUCGAUAUUUAAAUUUCUCCAAUUUUCGUGAAAAUGUAGUAAACAUUUCAAAUAGAAGGGUUGUACAUAUAUAUAAAAAGAUUCCAAACAGUGACAUAAUCUUAUGUAGGCGGACAAAAAAUAAGGGAAACAUGCACGUUCUGUAUGUUGACUGUUGUCUACGUGUAUCGUGUAGACAGGCGGAAUGUCGAUAAGUUUUCGGCGAUCGGUGGCCGUCGUAAAAGCGACGACACAUGUACACUCGUCCUUGGAGCUUGUUUGCAUACGGUUUCAUUUCCUUGUGUUCGUUUCGCCUUUGAAUAUUAAAGAAAAUCAUCUUCGUGAAAUCCUUAAUAUUUCUUAUAUUCGAUAUUUAUAUUGGUUACAUUGACUUUUAUCUUUUUAUUUUUUUUAAAUUCUUUCUAUCUUGUUUUUUUUUCAUUCUAUUGCUUUCAACGAAAUCCUUCAUUCCUUUUUCUUCUCUUUCUUCUUCCCUUUUUAUUUUCUUUUAAUCACAAGAUUUUUUUUAUUUUAUUUUAUUUUUUAAGACUUGCAGAACUUUGAAAAAUGGGAUAUCUUAUUUUUGAUAUAUUUUAAGAAAUUCGAAACACGGUUUUGCGUAUCGAAGCUAAGAAUUCGAAAGAAAAUAUCGAAGAUGGAAUAAAUUAAGACGCUCUUUCACAGCGUCUUUUGUAUUUAGUAUUCCGUCCGCGAUGAUGAUGCUAGUAUACAUCGCUUCCUAUUUGCAUGCGAUUAUUACCUCUUUUCUCUUCGCUCACGUUUUGCUUUACCUUUAUGGUUGGAUUACCUUUGCAUAUGUUUUCUUUCUUUUUUUUUUUUGAGAGAGAGACAGGUAAUGAUGUGUUGAUUUCCAUCUUGAUAAUUAAGAUGACAAAAUAUGACGGCAAAUAUUUAACAAAUUAUCGAGUGGAAAAUUUUUCAAAUAUAUUCUCUUUUUAAAUUUUCUCCAAAUAGAUCGUAAAUUCGAAAAAUUGCAAGUUUGGUAGUAAAUUUCGUUCAAAUUGCAAAUUAUUAUUUAUAUCAAUAAUAAAUUCGCGAAAACUCGAUCCAGUGGUACGAUUCAAUAGGUUAGUGAUCCUUGUAAACACGCAAGUGACCCCCAGUAAGGGAAAAUUGGUACAAACGCAUUCCAAUACGCCUCGGUUCUUUCGAAUCGGAUUCGAUCCACGUUAUCCAUUUAGCCGUUAAGGUCAAACCGCACGGUCGCAUUUCUUUCGAUUCCUCCAAUCGGUUAUAUAUCUCUUUCAUUUUUCGCGUCUUCUUCAAAAAUAAAAUAAACGUUCCUGCGAAAAAUUCACAGAUAAAAAUAUCAUCAAAUACAUCUAACAUAAACGUAAUAAACAUCGCAUCUUAAAUGAUAAUUGCGCAAUCGAACUUGAAUUCCAUUUUCCUCGCAUUAUUUCCUCCAUGAUCCCAAUUAAAAUUCCCUAGAAACGCGCCAGUUGAUUUCCAUCAAAAUGAUACACGGUUUCAAGAAUGGAUUGAUGAUUACGUAAAAUGAUUUUGUGCUCGGCAAACUUGCAAAUUAUUGGAUAUCUUAUAUAUAUAUAUAUAUAUAUGAGACAUUGCAAUGUUGCCUUUGACUUUUUUUAUACGAAUAUUCCGUUUACGUAAUUUCUUUUGGCUUAGUCAAAGUGCUUACACUAUCGAGUAGAGAGGAAUAUCGAGAGAGGGAAAGAAAAAAGAUUCGAAUUGGCCUUGUCCAUUUCUCCUUUCGAUCUUAUUGAUUCUUUUCGUGGUCGAAACACCGGCAAUGCUUUGGCACACGUUAUCUCGAUCAUGUGACCACGUGCAUACCAUUUCCACCGCAUUUCAAAUAACAAUCAUUCAACUAGCAUUUUUCUAUUAUUCCCUAUUAUUUGUUCGUCUUGUUGAAAUUGUGAAUAUCAUUGAUUUGCUUAUCUCUUAUACUAGUUAUAACUGGAUUAUUGGACAGUUUGCGAUAAAUUAUUUAUUUUUUUAUCGUUUAUAUUCGCGUCUAAUUUACACACGAUGGAAAAAAAAAAAAGAUCGGCUGUUGUUGCAAAACAAGAAUUUUUCAAUUCCAGUCAUUGUAUUAAAUGCAAGUGCACAAAUGAUAGUUGUUAAAAAAGUAAUUAUAAUGCAAAUUUAUGCGAAGGAUAUCAUCUUUAUAAUUAAUAAUUGUAAUUAAUUAAAACAGGAAAAAAAGAAAAAUUUUCCAUAAAAAAAUUAAAAUAAUCUCAUUCUAUUUAAUUGCUCUAUUCGUAGAAUAAUUAAAUACGAAUACGUGAUAAGUCACGAUCGAAAGAUUAGAAUGGAAGAAACGAUUUAUAAUAAUUUUAAUGUAUAUAUAUAUAUAUAUAUUUUUCCCUUUUUUUUCUCGAUCGAAUAUUAUAUACUGGCGUUUAUUAAAAAGGGAGGAAAAAACCGCGGGCUCAUGGCUGCAGGUAGCGUGUGUUUAUUGCGAAACACUUUAAUUAUGAGUCUCUGCGUAACGUCUUUUUUUUUCUCUCUUUCCUCUCUCGUCCCGUGGAACUGAUGUAAUAAUGCCAAGAGUUCUAUCGCCUAUCUUUUUUUUUUCCACCAUUAGACGAUCACCUUGCACGUUGGAUUAUUUUUGAAAAAUGGUUUGGUCGAUCGUUUGCAUUUGCAUCGAUAAAAUUUCUUGCAGAAUUGUAUUGAAAAAUUAUUUGACGACGAAAUAAUUUUCAAAAAAAUUUUUUAAAGAAAAGAUAGAGGUGUGUUUUAGAAGAAAAAAAAAUAUUGCGACAGAAAAACAUUCCUGAUAAAUUAUGAAGAUAUCGAAGAUUAUGAAUGAUUAAUUAUAUAAUAAUUAUUAUCUUGCAUGCAUCAAUUGCUUAUAAAUAUUACAUUAUUAUUUCCAAUGAUGAUUCAUUUAACGUGUAGACUUUUGGCCGAAACAUAAAUUUUUCUCGACGUUUUCUGUCGUUCCUUCCCCUCCAAUUUGAAUAGAUAAAUCGCAUAACGAAUAUCGCUUUCCAUAACGAGUCAUAUUUAAAUAAAUUUAUGCUACAAUAUUAUGCAUUUACGUAUAUUAAUUAAUGUUAAUACGGCACACAAUAUGCUUCAUUAACAUUUUAAAAAUACAUUGAAAAAAAAAAAUUAAAUAUUUAAAUUACGAAUUCUUUAUCGAACAGAAUUCACCAUUUAAGAAAAAUAUCCAUCCUCGAAACUUCAAGAAUCUUCUCUACUUCUAUACUUUUAUUAUCCAGUUCAAAGAACUCGAAUUCAAGAAAGGAAAAAACAAGUUUCUAAAUGUCGGGAAGUGUAAAAUAAUUACGUCAACUCGAUUCGAAGCAUAGACGCAGGGAAGGUCUCUCGUCGAGCUGGAGAUCGAAGUGUGAACGACCGACGCCGCCUAAAAUUACUCGAACAAAUUCAGACUGCAACGGAUGGCCCGAAGGAAUUACGGAUUCUCUUGGACGAUCGCUCGAAUCAAGGCUCGACCGGUGCGCUUUCAAUACGGAUUAUCCUCGACGUUUCAAUCCCUUCUAGGAUUAAAUUUUUCCACUGGAUAUACCCUUUCUCAUAUCCAUUUUUGUAAGAUCAAAUCCUUGGUCAUUGUUAUGAUAAUGAUGCACAAGUUAUUCCGUUAUAUUCUGUGUUAUAUAGAAUGCAUUUUUUUUUCCAUUUUUAUCGUAGAGUCACAUUAAGAUUAUUUUUAUUUCCUUUUUUUUUAUUAAUAUAAGGAUCUUGUUAUCCUCGACUGGAAAUAAUAUACUUGUUAAAAUGAUUUCAGAUAUAUUCUUACGUCGUAUUACGCAUUUUCUAAUUAUCGUAGUUGAGGAUCUUCUUGUAGUAGUAAUAACAUAUUAAUUAAAAUUAUUUUAGAAAUAUUGUAUUACAUGGAAUGCUUGUGUUUCAUAUUAAAUGCAGGAAUAUAGUUUUAACUAUAGAUAGAAAUUAUACAAUUUGGAAUUUUUAAUUGGGUUUUUAUUACAAAAAAAAACAAAAAAUAAUUAAAGAAAAGAUUAGAAAAGUGUAUAAUUUUGUUAACUUUUGCAAUUAAUACCUUAACUUCGUUUUCCAAGAAACGAUAUUCACACUUUAUAUUUGAAGAAUUUCAUAUAGAAAUAAAUAAAAUGUAUAAACAGAGAGGACUGGUUCUAAAAAAUUCUCUUGAACGUUGGGUGACCACUAGUCGACCUUGUCCUUGGUCAUUCGCGUUUUUUCAACUCGCUCGACGACAAUUCUCCUCCUCCUCCUCCUUCUCUUCUCCUUCUCCUCUUCCUUCUCUUUUCUAUCCGUUACAACGUUCAUUUUCGAAAAGAUAAUUCGUGACGGCACAAUCUCCACGUGGAAAGUCCUCAAACGAGGCGGAGACAAAGGCUCGAUACGUUUCUGGGUCACAGCCGCAGUUUCCACCGGGCUUCGUAACAGCCAUUGAGCCGCCAAGCGUGGGAGGACAUGCAAAUUUCCCACGAUACCCGCGAAUUUCUACGAUUUCUCAGACGUUCGGAUACGAUAUCGAGAAUUGUUUACGCAAACAAGGGAGUAGAUCAUGUUCGUUUAUUUAAUUCGUGUGAUUGAAGGGAAUAAAUGAAAAUAUGGAGAAUGAUACUUGAAAGUCAAAUGUAAAUUCCUAUAUAUUUGGAUUGGAGUAACGAAACUGUAUGUAAACUGUAUGCAUGAAAUGUGAUUUUGCGUAUACCCGAGUCCAGUUACGAGGUGUAGUUUAAGUGAUAAGACGAGAAAGUGGAACGAAUCGAUGCGAGUGCACUCGCAGAAAGAGUGCAAAACACUCUCGCUACUAUCUUUCGUCGAAUAAGCCAUGUGCACCAUAUUUUUAGCGCGGAUUUACAUUUGCGGAUCGCAACACGACGAUUAACACGAAAACGUUCGAAAAUUUAAUUGGCAGGUAAUUUUAUUUUUUUCUUUUUUUAUUUUCUUCUUUCAUGCGUUAUACUUUUUAAAUACGUUAUUUAUUUUUAGCACGAGCAGCAGCAAAGAAAAUAUGAUAACGAGCUAAUUUUUCAAUCCUCAAAUAUUUAACACAAAUGACAAACAACGAAACGACGAAUCUCAUCGAAAGAACCAUCGAAUCUUCGUUUGAAUUUCUAAACAAUUUUUCAAUUCGACAAUUAAAAAAAAAAUCGUCUUUUCCUUUUCUCGAAAAUAAUCUUUCCUUCCUGAUUUCCGAAGAAAAUCAAAAAAUUU